rnacentral:rRNA from 1 species
AUGUGUUGGCUGCCUGAAUCUGAUGAUUCUAUGUCUGUCUUUGUCCAUGGACAAAAUCUGAACAUCACGCAGUGUCCUUCUCGGUCCCUUCAUCUCCUCCGCCACGCCGUCUUGAGCUCGGACACCGUCUACGAAAAAGCCCCCCUCCCGCCCAACAUGUCAACUCUCUACCGCUCCCACACUAAUGUCGGCCCCCGCUGCUGCUGCCUCGCGCGGGACGCCGCGGCCGGCCAUGUCAUCCCGUCCCCUCUGUGCCGCUCCUCCCCUACUUCUUCAGUUCUUUUAUCAAAAUCGACUUAA